rnacentral:rRNA from 1 species
UACGUAGGGAGCGAGCGUUGUCCGGAUUUAUUGGGCGUAAAGAGCUCGUAGGCGGCUUGGUAAGUCGGAUGUGAAAUCUCCAUGCUUAACGUGGAGCGGCCAUCUGAUACUGCUAUGGCUUGAGUCCGGUAGGGGCCCACGGGAAUUCCUGGUGUAGCGGUGAAAUGCGCAGAUAUCAGGAGGAACACCGGUGGCGAAGGCGGUGGGCUGGGCCGGUACUGACGCUGAGGAGCGGAAAGCGUGGGGAGCGAACAGG